AUUGAACGCUGGCGGCAGGCUUAACACAUGCAAGUCAACGGUAGCAGGAAGAAGCUUGCUUCUUUGCUGACGAGUGGCGGACGGGUGAGUAAUGUAUGGGGAUCUGCCGAAUGGAGUGGGAUAACUGCUGGAAACGGUAGCUAAUACCGCAUGAUGUCGAAAGACCAAAGCAUGGGACCUUCGGGCCAUGCGCCAUUUGAUGAACCCAUAUGGGAUUAGCUAGCUGGUGGGGUAAUGGCCUACCAAGGCGACGAUCUCUAGCUGGUCCGAGAGGACGAUCAGCCACACUGGGACUGAGACACGGACCAGACUCCUACGGGAGGCAGCAGUGGGGAAUUUUGGACAAUGGGGGCAACCCUGAUCCAGCAAUGCCGCGUGAGUGAAGAAGGCCUUCGGGUUGUAAAGCUCUUUUGUCAGGGAAGAAACAGCAGCUCUAACACAGUCUGCGAAUGACGGUACCUGAAGAAUAAGCACCGGCUAACUACGUGCCAGCAGCCGCGGUAA
rnacentral:rRNA from 1 species